CGGCAGCGGACCUUCGGGUGCCGGCGAGUGGCGAACGGGUGAGUAAUGUAUCGGAACGUACCUUUCAGUGGGGGAUAACGUAGCGAAAGUUACGCUAAUACCGCAUAUUCUGUGAGCAGGAAAGCAGGGGAUCGCAAGACCUUGCGCUGAUUGAGCGGCCGAUAUCAGAUUAGCUAGUUGGUGAGGUAAAGGCUCACCAAGGCGACGAUCUGUAGCGGGUCUGAGAGGAUGAUCCGCCACACUGGAACUGAGACACGGUCCAGACUCCUACGGGAGGCAGCAGUGGGGAAUUUUGGACAAUGGGGGCAACCCUGAUCCAGCCAUGCCGCGUGAGUGAAGAAGGCCUUCGGGUUGUAAAGCUCUUUCGUCCGGGAAGAAAUCGCAUCAGCUAAUACCUGGUGUGGAUGACGGUACCGGAAUA
rnacentral:rRNA from 1 species